GCUGUACCGGUUAGAUUGGGAUACUCAUCAAUAAUUACUUGAAAACCGAGAUCAGUUAGUCUGUUCAAUGGCGUGCCGAUAUGCGUUGCAUCCGUAGCGUAGGGUCGGAUUACAGAGACUCACUAACCCUCAAAUCUUAUUCGCUCGGAGUUUCAUCACAUCACCGGUGCAGCCUUUUU
rnacentral:sRNA from 1 species